CGUAGAGAUCUGGAGGAAUACCGGUGGCGAAGGCGGCCCCCUGGACGAAGACUGACGCUCAGGUGCGAAAGCGUGGGGAGCAAACAGGAUUAGAUACCCUGGUAGUCCACGCCGUAAACGAUGUCGACUUGGAGGUUGUGCCCUUGAGGCGUGGCUUCCGGAGCUAACGCGUUAAGUCGACCGCCUGGGGAGCACGGCAGCAAGGGUAAAAAUCAAAUGAAUUGACGGGGGCCCGCACAA
rnacentral:rRNA from 1 species